rnacentral:rRNA from 1 species
GUGUCAGCAGCCGCGGUAAGACGGACCGGACGAACGUUAUUCGGAAUUACUGGGCUUAAAGAGUGCGUAGGCGGCCUGGCAGGUUGGGUGUGAAAUCCCUCGGCUCAACCGAGGAACUGCGCUCAAAACCGCCAGGCUUGAGGAAGACAGGGGUGAGCGGAACUGAUGGUGGAGCGGUGAAAUGCGUUGAUAUCAUCAGGAACACCGGUGGCGAAGGCGGCUCACUGGGUCUUUUCUGACGCUGAGGCACGAAAGCUAGGGGAGCGAACGGGAUUAGAAACCCCCGUAGUCC